GAACUGUAGAACUUCCACUGGAUUAGGGUUGAGUAUGCAAAUUAGCCGAUGAUGUCAUACUGUAUUCUACACUCAUGGGAGCGUACAAAGACGUAACUGUUUAAGGUGAACGCAAACAUGAAAAUAUUCUCGCUAUUCAACUUGGAAAAGUUGUGAGAACACUGUUGCUAGGCAACUGGAAAAGAUAGACACAGCGCACACGUUAUCUCACGACCGAAACUAAGAAUUUAACUAGAAAAGAAUCAUCACACAGACAUUUCCCUCAGGUGUGUGGGUACAUUUAUUAAUGAAGGGGUGUGUGAGAGUGUGUGUGAGAGUGUGUGUGAGAGUGUGUGUGAGAGUGUGUGUGUGAGUCUGUGUGUGUGAGCAGUGUGUGUGAGAGUGUGUGUGUGAGAGUGUGUGUGAGUGUGUGUGAGUGUGUGAGAGUGUUUGUGUGUGAGAGUGUGUGUGAGAGUGUGUGUGAGAGUGUGUGUGACUGUGUGUGUGAGACUGUGUGUGUGAGACUUGGUGUGUGACUGUGUGUGUGACUGUGUGUGUGAGAGUGUGUGUGAGAGUGUGUGUGAGAGUGUGUGUGUGACUGUGUGUGUGAGAGUGUGUGUGAGACUGUGUGUGUGAGAGUGUGUGUGAGAGUGUGUGUGAGAGUGUGUGUGAGUGUGUGUGUGAGAGUGUGUGUGUGACUGUGUGUGUGACUGUGUGUGAGAGUGUGUGUGAG
ensembl:lncRNA